CCUACGGGGGGCUGCAGUGGGGAAUAUUGGACAAUGGGGGGAACCCUGAUCCAGCCAUGCCGCGUGUGUGAAGAAGGCCCUCGGGUUGUAAAGCACUUUCAGUGAGGAAGAACGCCUGGUGGUUAAUACCCAUCAGGAAAGACAUCACUCACAGAAGAAGCACCGGCUAACUCCGUGCCAGCAGCCGCGGUAAUACGGAGGGUGCGAGCGUUAAUCGGAAUUACUGGGCGUAAAGCGCGCGUAGGUGGCUUGAUAAGCCGGUUGUGAAAGCCCCGGGCUCAACCUGGGAACGGCAUCCGGAACUGUCAAGCUAGAGUGCAGGAGAGGAAGGUAGAAUUCCCGGUGUAGCGGUGAAAUGCGUAGAGAUCGGGAGGAAUAACAGUGGCGAAGGCGGCCUUCUGGACUGACACUGACACUGAGGUGCGAAAGCGUGGGUAGCAAACAGGAUUAGAUACACCUGUAGUC
rnacentral:rRNA from 1 species